UUUCCUUCCUCUCCCCUUCCCUCUCGGCUGUCUCUCUCGUGAGUGUCCCCGUCGCGUCCCGUCCGCCGCACGGGAGUGAGCGGAGGGGUAGAGCCUCGACCGGGAGCCGCGGCCUCGCCACUCUCUUAGACUCUCGAGGGCGCCGCCGGGGGUACCUCGGGUUCAGGGUCGGGCGCCGCGUGCCGCUGCCCCGCGGCCGGCUCCGGGGGGCGGCGGCGCCGCCGCCGCCGUUCGCGUUCCGCAGCCCCAGCAGCAAGUGCGGCAGGUUCGCCGUGCGGUUCCUCGCGUUGCGGCGGAAGGUGCGCGGGAGGGUGUACGACGUGUCGCCCGGCGAGUGCGCGCGGCGCGCGGUCAGCGGCGUGUUCGAGAGCUGGCGGGGCCGCCUACGCCGGGGGCGCCGCCGGCACGGCCCCCCUAGCCCGGGCCCGCUCCCGAGGCGCUAAGCCGGGCUGCUCCACGUCUGCGGGCGGCUCCUUUGCGGCGACCACCUACUCCCCAAGCUCCGGCAAGCUAGGGCGCCGCGGCCGCAGGUACACCAGGGAUGGAAGCGGCCUACCAAAAGUACCUUCCUUUAGGUGGUUCAACUCUUCGUUUGGGACGGAAGCAAAAAAUUGCCUUUUAGCCUCUUCGCCUGUGGUCUCUAUAUGAGCCCCUAAUCUUUAAGAUAGUACUACUUUAAAGUACGGUUAGGAGUCGACGUCGACCUCGGGUUUCUAAACCGACUCGACAGUCAACCCCUCCAGCUACGAGCUGUCCUUCACAAACUAAAAAACCUAGUGACCCCGGACUAGUUAAAGGUGGGAAAAGGUGGACGACCGGAUCUUCUCUCAUUCGGUCUCCUCUCGGUUUCGCUAAGAGCGUUACUCCUCUUUCGAAGAGAGUAACUCUUCGACAAAUUUAAACUUGGCCAAGUCAGUAUGUACUAAGGAAAUGGUUUAUUUCCCCUCCCCCUUUAAGGUCACGGAGACGGAUGCAACGAAGGACUAGGACAAGAUCACCUUCUACAUUAACGUCGUCGACUCGGAAGGCAACUCAUGGUAACGUUGAGAACAAGUCAACUAACGAGUCCGUUCGCGAUAGUAACGGCCUGGGUCCGUCUAAAACUGGACACAAGAUUGACGAUGUUGCUUCUUUUUAAGCUACCUCCGUACAGGUUUUGUCUAAAGUAGGAGUACCUAAGGUGUCUUCAAAGACCACGAGCACCAUGAUCGACCUGACUACUCCUCUGUAACGAAGAGAAUCUUCGAGACCUUUAAAAACCACCUUUUACCUGACUCUAACGGCUUGUACAACGAUGUUUUUGUUUUUGUGUCACAUACAAUGUGAAAGACGUUUACGUUUAACUCCUAGCGAAGGUACUACCACUACUAUAAGUGGUUUUAUAGGUACUUUCGUGUCUCGUUCGGAACCACCUUUUUUCGUGGGGACUUCAUGGACUCUUUUACCUUUGACUUCUCUUUCAACUUCCUUUUCUAUGGUUCCUACUCUUCGGAAGUCUCUUUUGCCUUCCGUUAGUGUGUCUUCUUUUUUGUCUUCUUCCUUCACAACAACUUUUAUUUCUACGGUUUUUAAGUCCACCACGUCUAAGUCAGUGUUGUGGUUUGCAACUACUCGGUUUUGGUAGAAGACUAUGACUGGAUCGUUUCCUUUUAAGACAAUUAGAACUAUGAAGACUCUUUUUACGCGGUCUACUACGAUAACAAUAAAGACCACUUUUACGUAGUUUACUACGAUAACUAUAGGACUUUAGACGCAAGCUCCGACAACCAUUGAAGGGACCUGUACUUCCAAGCAAACGACUACGUCCCUUAGGACAAUACCGUAACCGUCGUAAAAACCGACCAGAACACCUUCUACUGUUACGAUGGUGAAGAACGGCAUCAAGUGAUUUUCGAUAGAGUCUCCUAAGAGGACGUGAUGUUAACCGUUCAUCCGUGACAAUAUAAGAACUUCUAGGUGGCUCACUAGACUUUCUGUAAAAACAGUGACAUUCAUUAUGUUUAUUUCUACUCCUAGUUCGUUUUCCACUCCUAGUUCGUUUUCCACUCCUAGUUCGUUUUCUACUCGUAUACCAGUAUCUAAGUUGACCAUGACUCUUUUUCCUGUAGUUACAAUUCCUUCUCUUAUGGCACAGACACCUUUUCGUUUUGUCAGGUAGGUAAAGUGGUUUUCUGGUGUUUCUUAGUCUAUGAUUCUUACAUAGAACGCUACUACUUCGUGGGUGUCACCUCGGAUUUAGGUUAUUUCGAUUCCUCUGGCUACUAGGUCAAGGAGACCACCUAUUCCCACGCAGGUUGCUGUGUUUUCAAGGUAGUUCAAGAUGGUUUCUAAGUCAACGAGGUCUUUUAUUACGUUUACCUACACCAAACAGUCGAAGAGUUCUCCAACAACGUCCUUCAUGAUGUACACGUUGAUUAGGACUCGACAAUUUCCUGUUUGGUUCAAGACUUCACCUCGGUCUACUACUAAGUGGAAGUGUUCCGUUCUAGCUCGAAUUGUUCUGACUUCUACGUCAACGACGGGGUUGACGGCAUGUUCUUCUACUCCUUUGGGUAUGUAACCCCUUACCGUUCGACCUUCUUGGAUUGUCACGACUUUUACAUGGACGGCUACCUCUCUACCAGAGUUCUCACUGGCGGCUCGUAUUACUAAGGAAUUGAUCCGAUUUUGCUCGGCGUCGCUGACGACAAAGUCGUCGACGACGCUUCCGAUUCGAGGAACGACUCGUCCUUCUUCUAGUUUAAGCUGCCGAUCGACGUGACCACCAACUCUUUGACGACGUCUUCUGCCUCCGCUUCUACAGUAAUAAACGUCUACAACUCGUACACCGGGACGCGUGUUCUCUUAUGUGACUUUUCUGGUCUUUCUUCGAAGACUACCUCGCCUUGCGUUAUUAGCGUCGAGCGUACCCACGUGACGGUAGAUCCGGCUUGGUCGUCCCACGUCGACCCUUGUCUAACGGCGGGCCUAUACCGCGGGGACGUCAUUCUGGCGGUUUGCGUUACGGGGCCGGCUCGUCGACUCAGCUACUCCAUUUUGGACAGCGGAGCCACUAGCUGGACAUAUGGGCUAAGAAAAUCUUCUUGUGGAGUCUGGUUAGUCCGUAUUCGAUACGACAACAACAUCGUAAGUACAUCCUCGCAUGGCAUAGCACUAGACAUAUUCCCUUUUUGGGCCGGUAAAACCGAAACCUACACUACGAGAGAGGCACGUGAGACGAACACUGACCCGGUACAAUACUAGAAGGCACAUCUGGACUUCAAUGGUUUUCUCAAAAGUACGCCUCACUACACGAACAUUCCUCCGCUACCAAGCCAAAAGCACCAGUGGGAACGCGCUUAAAACACACUUCUACGAGCCUCAGAACAAGCAAAAAGGUAGAUACAUAACAAACACAGAAACAAU
rnacentral:rRNA from 1 species